rnacentral:sRNA from 2 species
UUGUCUAAAGCGCUGAAUUUUGCAGUUGCAAAAGCGGGGGAACCAACGAGUAUGUACGGUUUUGCAAGCCGUGUGUGUCUCAUGGGGUGAAUUUUCCGGCCAAGUGCCGUAAAUAGGGCGACUCUCACGUCCGAAUCCGACAGCUAACCUCGUAAGCGUACAGGGAGAGGCAAC